AGAGUUUGAUCAUGGCUCAGAACGAACGCUGGCGGUAUGCUUUACACAUGCAAGUCGAACGAGUAUGGAACCUAGCAAUAGGCCCCCAGCUAGUGGCAAACGGGUGAGUAACGCGUGGGCACCUACCUUAUAGUACGGAAUAGCCCCGGGAAACUGGGAUUAAUACCGUAUACGCUCUUCGGAGGAAAGAUUUAUCGCUAUAAGAUGGGCCCGCGUUAGAUUAGCUAGUUGGUGAGGUAAUGGCUCACCAAGGCGACGAUCUAUAGCUGGUUUGAGAGGAUGAUCAGCCACACUGGAACUGAGACACGGUCCAGACUUCUACGGGAGGCAGCAGUGGGGAAUAUUGGACAAUGGGCGAAAGCCUGAUCCAGCAAUACCGCGUGAGUGAUGAAGGCCUUAGGGUUGUAAAACUCUUUCAGUAGGGAAGAUAAUGACGGUACCUACAGAAGAAGCACCGGCUAACUCCGUGCCAGCAGCCGCGGUA
rnacentral:rRNA from 1 species